rnacentral:misc_RNA from 1 species
AUUGCUAUUGCUCUGAGCGCCAUGGAGGUAGAAGGCUUCGUGUACGGGAUGCAGACCCCAAUGUUCGGAGCCCAGCAGCAGGCGUACAGAAGCCAACAGCUGCUUGCUAUCGCCCAGAGAAACCGACUGAACAACCUGGCUCGUGUGUCCGAAUUCAGCAAAUUCGUAAACUACAUCCCUCUCGUGCUGUUGUUGACCACCUUAACCAACACCUCAUCCAUCCCCAUCAUCGGUUAAACACUCCAUAGAAAGAGGAACCUUUGGUCUACCAUCUAAAAGGUGAAAUGGAUUUUUAUCUGCGACCGACCAAAGAAAUAACAUCUCCACUCUGAGGACAAGGCAAAGAAUGCUCUCUCUUGUUCAUGAUUAAAGAAAUAAAUUAUAAUAAAUAUGAUCUUAUGC